UGAAUAUUAUAUAUAUGAUGAUGAUGAUGAUGAUGAUUAUUAUUAUCAUCAUCAUCAUCAUUAUUACCA
rnacentral:miRNA from 1 species